rnacentral:rRNA from 1 species
CCUACGGGAGGCUGCAGUGGGGGAUAUUGCACAAUGGGGGGAACCCUGAUGCAGCGACGCCGCGUGGGUGAAGGAGUGCUUCGGCAUGUAAAGCACUAUCGGCAGGGAAGAAGCAAGACGGUACCUGACUCAGAAGCCCCGGCUAACUACGUGCCAGCAGCAGCGGUAAUACGUAGGGGGCGAGCGUUAUCCGGAUUCCCUGGGUGUAAAGGGAGCGUAGACGGCCAUGCAAGCCAGGGGUGAAAGCCCGGGGCCCAACCCCGGGACUGCCCUUGGGACUGGAUGGCUGGAGUGAGGGAGGGGCAGGCGGAAUUCCUGGUGUAGCGGUGAAAUGCGUAGAUAUCAGGAGGAACACCGGCGGCGAAGGCGGCCUGCUGGACCGCGACUGACGUUGAGGCUCGAAAGCGUGGGGAGCGAACAGGAUUAGAUACCCCUGUAGUC